rnacentral:tRNA from 1 species
UGGGGUGGCGCAUAGCGGCUAUUGCAGGAGACUGGAGCUCCUUGAGCCGCAUGGCUAAAAACUCUCCCGUCUUCGGACAUCGGUGGUUCGAGUCCAUCCCCCGCAACCA